AAAAAAGUAAGCUAAUAAAGCUUUUGGGUUCAUACCCCAACUAUAAAGGUUAUAUUCCUUUCUUUUUUA
rnacentral:tRNA from 1 species